rnacentral:rRNA from 1 species
CUACGGGCGGCUCCAGUAGGGAAUCUUAGACAAUGGGGGAAACCCUGAUCUAGCCAUGCCGCGUGAGUGAUGAAGGCCUUAGGGUUGUAAAGCUCUUUCGCUGGGGAAGAUAAUGACGGUACCCAGUAAAGAAACCCCGGCUAACUCCGUGCCAGCAGCCGCGGUAAUACGGAGGGGGUUAGCGUUGUUCGGAAUUACUGGGCGUAAAGCGCGCGUAGGCGGGCUAUUAAGUCAGGGGUGAAAUCCCGGGGCUCAACCCCGGAACUGCCUUUGAUACUGGUAGUCUUGAGUUCGUGAGAGGUGAGUGGAAUUCCGAGUGUAGAGGUGAAAUUCGUAGAUAUUCGGAGGAACAUCAGUGGCGAAGGCGACUCACUGGCUCGAUACUGACGCUGAGGUGCGAAAGUGUGGGGGGCAAACAGGAUUAGAUACCCCAGUAGUC